GAUGAACGCUGGCGGCGUGCCUAAUACAUGCAAGUCGAGCGAACGGACGAGAAGCUUGCUUCUCUGAUGUUAGCGGCGGACGGGUGAGUAACACGUGGAUAACCUACCUAUAAGACUGGGAUAACUUCGGGAAACCGGAGCUAAUACCGGAUAAUAUUUUGAACCGCAUGGUUCAAAAGUGAAAGACGGUCUUGCUGUCACUUAUAGAUGGAUCCGCGCUGCAUUAGCUAGUUGGUAAGGUAACGGCUUACCAAGGCAACGAUGCAUAGCCGACCUGAGAGGGUGAUCGGCCACACUGGAACUGAGACACGGUCCAGACUCCUACGGGAGGCAGCAGUAGGGAAUCUUCCGCAAUGGGCGAAAGCCUGACGGAGCAACGCCGCGUGAGUGAUGAAGGUCUUCGGAUCGUAAAACUCUGUUAUUAGGGAAGAACAUAUGUGUAAGUAACUGUGCACAUCUUGACGGUACCUAAUCAGAAAGCCACGGCUAACUACGUGCCAGCAGCCGCGGUAAUACGUAGGUGGCAAGCGUUAUCCGGAAUUAUUGGGCGUAAAGCGCGCGUAGGCGGUUUUUUAAGUCUGAUGUGAAAGCCCACGGCUCAACCGUGGAGGGUCAUUGGAAACUGGAAAACUUGAGUGCAGAAGAGGAAAGUGGAAUUCCAUGUGUAGCGGUGAAAUGCGCAGAGAUAUGGAGGAACACCAGUGGCGAAGGCGACUUUCUGGUCUGUAACUGACGCUGAUGUGCGAAAGCGUGGGGAUCAAACAGGAUUAGAUACCCUGGUAGUCCACGCCGUAAACGAUGAGUGCUAAGUGCUAGGGGGUUUCCGCCCCUUAGUGCUGCAGCUAACGCAUUAAGCACUCCGCCUGGGGAGCACGACCGCAAGGUUGAAACUCAAAGGAAUUGACGGGGACCCGCACAAGCGGUGGAGCAUGUGGUUUAAUUCGAAGCAACGCGAAGAACCUUACCAAAUCUUGACAUCCUUUGACAACUCUAGAGAUAGAGCUUUCCCCUUCGGGGGACAAAGUGACAGGUGGUGCAUGGUUGUCGUCAGCUCGUGUCGUGAGAUGUUGGGUUAAGUCCCGCAACGAGCGCAACCCUUAAGCUUAGUUGUCAUCAUUAAGUUGGGCACUCUAAGUUGACUGCCGGUGACAAACCGGAGGAAGGUGGGGAUGACGUCAAAUCAUCAUGCCCCUUAUGAUUUGGGCUACACACGUGCUACAAUGGACAAUACAAAGGGCAGCGAAACCGCGAGGUCAAGCAAAUCCCAUAAAGUUGUUCUCAGUUCGGAUUGUAGUCUGCAACUCGACUACAUGAAGCUGGAAUCGCUAGUAAUCGUAGAUCAGCAUGCUACGGUGAAUACGUUCCCGGGUCU
rnacentral:rRNA from 1 species